UGUGUUAGUGGAAGCGUCUGGAAAGGCGCGCGAUACAGGGUGACAGCCCCGUACACAAAAGCGCAUGUGCUGUGAGCUCGAUGAGUAGGGCGGGACACGUGGUAUCCUGUCUGAAUAUGGGGGGACCAUCCUCCAAGGCUAAAUACUCCUGACUGACCGAUAGUGAACCAGUACCGUGAGGGAAAGGCGAAAAGAACCCCGGCGAGGGGAGUGAAACAGAACCUGAAACCGUGUACGUACAAGCAGUGGGAGCACAGGUUUACCUGUGUGACUGCGUACCUUUUGUAUAAUGGGUCAGCGACUUAUAUUCUGUAGCAAGGUUAACCGAAUAGGGGAGCCGGAGGGAAACCGAGUCUUAAUUGGGCGUUAAGUUGCAGGGUAUAGACCCGAAACCCGGUGAUCUAGCCAUGGGCAGGUUGAAGGUUGGGUAACACUAACUGGAGGACCGAACCGACUAAUGUUGAAAAAUUAGCGGAUGACCUGUGGCUGGGGGUGAAAGGCCAAUCAAACCGGGAGAUAGCUGGUUCUCCCCGAAAGCUAUUUAGGUAGCGCCUCGUGAAUUCAUCUCCGGGGGUAGAGCACUGUUUCGGCUAGGGGGUCAUCCCGACUUACCAACCCGAUGCAAACUGCGAAUACCGGAGAAUGUUAUCACGGGAGACACACGGCGGGUGCUAACGUCCGUCGUGAAGAGGGAAACAACCCAGACCGCCAGCUAAGGUCCCAAAGUCAUGGUUAAGUGGGAAACGAUGUGGGAAGGCCCAGACAGCCAGGAUGUUGGCUUAGAAGCAGCCAUCAUUUAAAGAAAGCGUAAUAGCUCACUGGUCGAGUCGGCCUGCGCGGAAGAUGUAACGGGGCUAAACCAUGCACCGAAGCUGCGGCAGCGACACUAAGUGUUGUUGGGUAGGGGAGCGUUCUGUAAGCCUGCGAAGGUGUGUCGUGAGGCAUGCUGGAGGUAUCAGAAGUGCGAAUGCUGACAUAAGUAACGAUAAUGCGGGUGAAAAACCCGCACGCCGGAAGACCAAGGGUUCCUGUCCAACGUUAAUCGGGGCAGGGUGAGUCGACCCCUAAGGCGAGGCCGAAAGGCGUAGUCGAUGGGAAACGGGUUAAUAUUCCCGUACCUGGUGUUACUGCGAAGGGGGGACGGAGAAGGCUAUGUUGGCCGGGCGACGGUUGUCCCGGUUUAAGCGUG
rnacentral:rRNA from 1 species